rnacentral:rRNA from 1 species
GACGAACGCUGGCGGCGUGCCUAAUACAUGCAAGUCGAACGAACCGCGACUAGGUGCUUGCACUUGGUCAAGGUGAGUGGCGAACGGGUGAGUAACACGUGGGUAACCUACCUCAUAGUGGGGGAUAACAGUCGGAAACGACUGCUAAUACCGCAUAGGACAUAGGAUCACAUGAUUCUGUGAGGAAAGGUGGCGCAAGCUAUCGCUAAGAGAUGGACCCGCGGUGCAUUAGCUAGUUGGUAGGGUAAAGGCCUACCAAGGCGAUGAUGCAUAGCCGACCUGUGAGGGUGAUCGGCCACAUUGGGACUGAGACGCGGCCCAAACUCCUACGGGAGGCAGCAGUAGGGAAUCUUCCACAAUGGACGCAAGUCUGACGGAGCGACGCCACGUGAGUGAAGAAGGUCUUCGGAUCGUAAAGCUCUGUUGUUAGAGAAGAACAGCGCAUAGCGUAACUGUUAUGCGUGUGACGGUAUCUAGCCAGAAAGCCACGGCUAACUACGUG